GAUGAACGCUAGCGAUAGGCUUAACACAUGCAAGUCGAGGGACCGGCGGAUGGGUGAGUAACGCGUAUGCAACUUGCCUCUUAGUGGGGGAUAACCCGGAGAAACCCGGACCAAUAUCGCAUCCUAAGAGAUAGGCAUGCGUGCCAUUAGUUAGUUGGGGAGUGAACGGCUGACCAAGGUAUCGAUGGAUAGGGGAGCUGAGAGGCGUAUCCCCCGCAUUGGGGCUGAGACCCGACCCAAACGCCUACGGGGGGCAGAGUUGAGGAAAAUUGGUCGAUGGAGGGAACUCUGAGCCAGCCAAGUCGCGUGAAGGAUGACGGUAUAUGGAUUGAAAACUUCUUUAGUGGGCGAGUACGUGGCCUAAGAAUAAGUAUCGGCUAACUCCGUGCCAGCAGCCGCGGUAAUAC
rnacentral:rRNA from 1 species